ACACGAGGAAGGCGCUGCUUCGCGUUCACAUGAAAAUGUGGUAGUGUGAAAUCAAGUUUGCAAGCGGUAGGACGCGUCGGUGUGUGUCCGUUUUUUCUCUCGUGAAACCAGUACGGAAAAACUAUUUGAAAUCGUAACACACGCACGAACGGAAGUGAGCACGGACCACAACAGAAGCAAUAUUCAAUUGGUUGGAGUGCCGAAAACAGAACAGGAGAGGAAAGAAGGCAGGAACGAACCGAUCCUCCAACGUGCUAGCGCCUGGUAGAGGAGAAGCGGCAGGAAGGUAGAGACGAACAUCCAGCUCGCUAGUGCAGCACGUGGGAGCAGCAAGAGGGAAGCAAGCAGGACGCGUACACACCAUUCGACGAAGGCAAAGCUGGAGGAAAGGAGAACGAGGAGAGAAGGCAGGCAAGACGGGUACGUGUGUAUCCCGCACCGGUUUUAGGCAGUGUGAAUUGUGUGAGUAUGUAAAUAUGUAUGUGCGAGUAAGAAGGUAAAAUAAAGAGCGUAAGCAUGUGCAGAAUGGACAAAAGAGAGUAAGAGUCUUUGUAGGGAGAAUGGAGAGAAUGAAAGAAAUUGAACAAUAAUGUAGUAUACAGAAACUAGAUGUAUGAUACACGCUGUCGCACCGUUGCAGAGACGUGCUCUUUAGUGCUGCUAAUGAGCACGAUUUGAGAACGUUUUGAGCCCGUUUUUUCUCAUACAAAAUUUUAAAAUGUCGCGCGAUAAUGUCGGUUGGGGUA